AGGAUGAACGCUGGCGGCGUGCCUAACACAUGCAAGUCGAACGAAGCACUGUCGAAUGAGGAUUCGUCUGAAUUUGGCUUUGACUUAGUGGCGGACGGGUGAGUAAUGCGUGAGCAACCUGCCUUUCAGAGGGGGACAACAGUUGGAAACGACUGCUAAUACCGCAUGACAUAUUGAGAUCGCAUGGUUUGAUAUUAAAGAUUUAUCGCUGAAAGAUGGGCUCACGUCUGAUUAGUUAGUUGGUGAGGUAACGGCUCACCAAGACUGCGAUCAGUAGCCGGACUGAGAGGUUGAACGGCCACAUUGGGACUGAGAUACGGCCCAGACUCCUACGGGAGGCAGCAGUGGGGAAUAUUGGGCAAUGGGCGAAAGCCUGACCCAGCAACGCCGCGUGAAGGAAGAAGGUUUUCGGAUUGUAAACUUCUUUUAUCAGGGACGAAGAAAGUGACGGUACCUGAUGAAUAAGCCACGGCUAACUACGUG
rnacentral:rRNA from 1 species